rnacentral:tRNA from 1 species
UCUCAGGUGGUCUAGUAGCUAAGACUCUGCAUCCCCAAUGCAGGGGGCCCAAGUUCGAUACCUGGUCAGAGAA